GUGGCGUUGGCGGUUAUCCCCACUACUGCAGUCUCUGGACUGCUAGUAUACCCUAGGAGGUAUUCCCUGGAAACUCCCCUUGUACACUUUAUUGCCACCGUCCUGAACAGUGCUCGUCUUUUUGGCGACUCAGGUAUGACACUGCUACAAUCUUUACACAACACUACUCUAAUCUAAACCCUCCCCCCCCCUUUGUUUUCACUUUUUACAUUUUGAUAUUAUCUUCCACUAAUCCUUGGGAGAACCUCUUUUCCCCCUCUCUAUAUGACAAUUAUUGUCCAUCUACCUGUAAUUCUUGUCAUUACUAGGCUACCAUUAUUAUUUAAUUUAACAAGACACCAUUUUAUUUCACUCACUAUAUUACCAAUCACCAAGUUAGGCACUUCUUAUUUUAACCCCCUCCUUAUUUUUUACUUUUCUAUAAUUGUAUUACCUUAUUCACUUCAUUUUCCAGAUGGAAAUCUCCCCCACCGUGAUUCCUAAUAUUUUCACAUUUCCUGGGGCUACUCCCAGUGUUAUGCCCUUUCCUAGUGCUAGUUCCAUCUCUAAGGUCUGGGGAUCGCCGCCUCAGGUUCCGGUGCUGAUCGAUUUUCGGCCUGCCACUAAUAUCCAGAUCCAUGACCAGACUCCACUAUGACCUGCAAACAUAUCCUGUGCAUCUGCUCCUGAAGAGUAGCGCUACAGCUACGAAACGCGUCGAGCUAAAUAGAUGCUUUUCCCUGCCAAUUUUUCAUCUUCAUCACCAUUACCAUGGUUUACUGGAACCUGCCAAUCUACAAUGCAUAAUGGAAAUAUGUUGCAAACUAGUCUGAUGUGGUUUUUAUGUUAUGAUUGUGGCUCUAGGCCAGCAGGCCAUCUUUGUGUCAUCAUGCUAUUCUGUUCUUUAUUAUGUACCAUGUUAUGGAAUAAAUGGUUUUAUUACCUUA